rnacentral:rRNA from 1 species
AACGAACGCUGGCGGCAUGCCUAACACAUGCAAGUCGAACGAGACCUUCGGGUCGAGUGGCGCACGGGUGCGUAACGCGUGGGAACCUGCCCUUAGGUUCGGAAUAACACCCCGAAAGGGGUGCUAAUACCGGAUAAUGUCUUCGGACCAAAGAUUCAUCGCCUUUGGAUGGGCCCGCGUUGGAUUAGCUAGUUGGUAGGGUAAAAGCCUACCAAGGCGACGAUCCAUAGCUGGUCUGAGAGGAUGAUCAGCCACACUGGGACUGAGACACGGCCCAGACUCCUACGGGAGGCAGCAGUGGGGAAUAUUGGACAAUGGGCGAAAGCCUGAUCCAGCAAUGCCGCGUGAGUGAUGAAGGCCUUAGGGUUGUAAAGCUCUUUUACCCGGGAUGAUAAUGACAGUACCGGGAGAAUAAGCUCCGGCUAACUCCGUG